UGAGGAAUAUUGGACAAUGGGUGAGAGCCUGAUCCAGCCAUCCCGCGUGAAGGACGACGGCCCUAUUGGGUUGUAAACUUCUUUUGUAUAGGGAUAAACCUACCCUCGUGAGGGUAGCUGAAGGUACUAUACGAAUAAGCACCGGCUAACUCCGUGCCAGCAGCCGCGGUAAUACGGAGGGUGCAAGCGUUAUCCGGAUUUAUUGGGUUUAAAGGGUCCGUAGGCGGAUCU
rnacentral:rRNA from 1 species